rnacentral:lncRNA from 1 species
GAGACGGAGUCGUGUCUCAAGUCAAAAUUUCAGGCGUGUCCACGCUGUCUUCGAGUCUCCUCAGCUUGCUCCUGCCCUCCCUUGGCUUUCUUGUCUACUCGGAAUUCUGAAUGUUACGACCUUGGCUGUUUUCAUCCCUGCUCAGAGGAUGCUCUUCAUCAUGGGAUGACUGUAAUUCCUUCUAAUCCCUGCGGCUCCAUCCUAAGCCAAACAAAUUAGACUCUAACAAGCUGUUCAACUGAUUUCCCAACACAUCACGACUGAGGCAUUCAGGAACCCCUUCAUCCAAAAGAAUAACUUUCAAGUGGAAAUAAAGUGAUUUUUAACUCGUUCCAAUAUGCCUUAUAAACCAUUUAACCUGAUUCUGUGAAAGUUGCAUGACUUAAAUCAAUGGACAAGUUACAGUGUUCAAUUCAAUGCCCUAGGCUGUAGAGUGAAGGUCACCAUACACAGGUGCUUUACAUGUUUGACAAGUUGUGAAAUAUAAUAGAGAUUGAAAUGUUGAUUGUAUGUAGUAUGUGUUCGAGUAAUGCAGUCUCUUGUAUUAGCCUAUAUGUUUGGGUUCCUGCCUAUUUUUGAAAGACCCUCAUCAUUCAUGAUAUUUUGAGUUUUCCAUAAAAUUAAAACAAAAAAAAUAGAAAAAAAAUCAUUUUGACAUAAACACCAUUACCAAAUCACUUUACUGAAUGAGUUGGAAGUUUUUGACUAUGAAAACCAAAUUAUAGAACUUACUAUUAUCAGUAUUCUUAUUUUUGAUGUAAUUUUCUACACAUUUGCUUUUCAGAAUCCCUAAUACUCUUCAGUUAGUUUUCUAAUGCUGACGUUCCCAUGCCACGUGAGGAUUUUUUUUUUUUUUUUUACUUUUGUAUUCUAAUCUGAAAUUGUUUUGUGCUUUUCUUCUCAUCAAUGUCAAACCACAGAAGCUGCAGCGCAUCUGGAACAUUGUCUACUGCUGUGUUUAUUCAUGUGUGGAAUGACAGGUUUGGGGAAGUAGAGCGCUUUCAUUUAUACUGCAAUGCGAUCGUCUUUAUCCAGCUAGAAACAAGUGACAGUAAAGUAUCAGAAUCUCUGAAUGUUCUCAUUGUUCUGGUUUUGUGCUUCAUGCCUAAGUAUAAACUCUCUUUACAAGAAGGUGUAGAGUCAAGAAUUCAUAUGCAGGUUUGGAAAAAGCUACAGAAUUCCAUUUCAAGAAGUUUAAAGCUCGUUUCCCAUUUCAAUGCAAUACUGAAAACUGGCUAAAAAUACCAAAUCAGAAUGUUGCUAAGUGGUCCUAUGAAGAAUAUGCAAAGCUGGGAGGCAGGCGAGGUCGGCAGUGUCCUGCGCGAGGAUGUCUCCCAAGUGCUGUUGUGAAGGAAUUUGUGAGGUGUGAAAGGGAAACCUGUGUUUCCUCAUUGUCCAUGGUGUGCCCAGAGAUGUGUCUGAGUGUGGGUGUGGAAGAACUCGGGUAAUAAAGAAUUAGCUGGCUCCUGGAGCAGUGCAAUGUUUGGUUCCUUGAGAAAUCGAAUCCUAUUUUAUUAGCACAAUCUUGCUGGCUAAUUAGAGACAGAGUUUAUCUUUUUAGAAAAGAUACCCUAUAGGUCCAUAAAGAAUAUUUACAGGAAACAAAAAUAGAUCUAUUAAUAUGUUACCCCUAUCUUUAAUUUGUAUAAUUUUUGUACUAUAUGUGUAAAGGUUUAAAGUCCUCAUUAUGAAAAUAUCAAUAAAUAUUUCAUUAAUUUACACUUAACACUUUGUUAUACAAAUGAAACUUUUUAAAUCGGUAAAACAGAUGCUCUCCCAGUAGAAGCAUGUCAACAAACCAUCGCCAGGUUUCAUAAAAUAUUUAAUGAUUUGC